rnacentral:rRNA from 1 species
AAUGAACGCUGGCGGCGCGCCUAAUACAUGCAAGUCGAGCGAGAAGACGUAGCAAUACGUUUGUAAAGCGGCGAACGGGUGAGGAAUACAUGGGUAACCUACCCUAGAGUGGGGAAUAACUAGCCGAAAGGUUAGCUAAUACCGCGUACGCCUCCUUGGACUUCGGUUCAGGGAGGAAAGCGAUGCCGAGGGUAUCGCGCUCUUGGAUGGGCUCAUGUCCUAUCAGCUUGUUGGGAGGUAACGGCUCACCAAGGCUUCGACGGGUAGCUGGUCUGAGAGGACGAUCAGCCACACUGGCACUGCGACACGGGCCAGACUCCUACGGGAGGCAGCAGUAAGGAAUAUUGCGCAAUGGGCGAAAAGCCUGACGCAGCGACGCCGCGUGGGGGAUGAAGGUCUUCGGAUUGUAAACCCCUUUCGGGAGGGAAGAUGGAAUGGGGUACCCAUUCGGACGGUACCUCCAGAAGCAGCCACGGCUAACUUCGUGCCAGCCGCCGCUGU